rnacentral:rRNA from 1 species
AAGUCGUAACAAGGUUUCCGUAGGUGAACCUGCGGAAGGAUCAUUAUUGAUUGUAAACUGUUGCCUUCUGUGCUGGCUUCUGCAAGUGCACGUCGGUGACUUUCAUUCCAAUACCCUUGUGAACCUUUGGCCUCUUGCUAGCUUCCGCUGGCAGAGGAUUCUACAUACAACUCGAAUGUAAUGAAACUCUUGUUGUGCACAAGCACUACUAUAUACAACUUUCAACAACGGAUCUCUUGGCCCUCGCAUCGAUGAAGAACGCAGCGAAAUGCGAUAAGUAAUGUGAAUUGCAGAAUUCAGUGAAUCAUCGAAUCUUUGAACGCACCUUGCACCCUUUGGCAUUCUGAAGGGUAUGCUCGUUUGAGUGUCAUUGUACUCUCACACUUCCGAUCUUGAAUUGGGAGCGGUGGACUUGGGUUUGCUGCUUUACCGUAGCUUACCUCAAAUGUGUUAGUGCAGCUCUUGGUUGGACAUAAUACGGCGUGAUAAGUAUCUUCGCCGGUGCCUCGCAAAGAGGGUGGCCGAUCAGGAUGGUGUGCUCCAAACCGUCUUCGGACAAUCUCUGACAACUUGACCUCAAAUCGAGUAAGACUACCCGCUGAACUUAAGCAUAUCAAUAAGCGGAGGAAAAGAAACUAACAAGGAUUCCCCUAGUAACGGCGAGUGAAGAGGGAAAAGCUCAAAUUUUGAAUCUGGCGUCUUUGGCGUCCGAGUUGUAAUCUAGAGAAGUGUUUUCCGUGACGGACCGUGCAUAAGUCUCCUGGAAUGGAGUGUCAUAGAGGGUGAGAAUCCCGUACAUGGCGUGGACUCCCGUUACUCUGCGAUACACUCUCGACGAGUCGAGUUGUUUGGGAAUGCAGCUCAAAAUGGGUGGUAAAUGCCAUCUAAAGCUAAAUAUUGGCGAGAGACCGAUAGCGAACAAGUACCGUGAGGGAAAGAUGAAAAGAACUUUGGAAAGAGAGUUAAACAGUACGUGAAAUUGCUGAAAGGGAAACGCUUGAAGUCAGUCGCAUCGACUGGAAAUCAACCUUGCUUUUGCUUGGUGUAUUUUCUGGCUUGAUGGGUCAGCAUCAAUUUUGGUCGCUGGAUAAAGGCUUGGGGAAUGUGGCAUCUUAGGAUGUGUUAUAGCCCUCGGUUGCAUACAGCGGUUGGGAUUGAGGAACUCAGCACGCCGCAAGGCCGGGUCGUUUUACGACCACGUUUACGUGCUUAGGAUGCUGGCAUAAUGGCUUUAAUCGACC